GGAGUAUUUCGGAUUUCCAGCUAGGGUUUUCCCCGCUCCGUUUAAUUUGGAAGUAGCUCACCCCUGCCAUGUUUGCUAUGCUAUCCAACCCUUAACUUUGCUGGUACAAAAUGCAACUUCAACCUAACUAAUUGUCCGGGGAUCCGACUCCGCUUAAAUGGAUAAGUUGCAUCGCAUCAUAUCUGCCAUGUCAUGCAUACCUGCAUUUGAUCAUGCUGGAUCUUCUUUAUCCGUAGUUGUAAGAUUUGCAUACGUUGUGUGUUCCAGCAUUUGCUUCUUCCCGGAUAGGAUCACGAAGUGGUGCGGCGAGAUACGACGAGUUCUCCGGAUGUUCCUCGGCAAGCUCUAACAGGCAAGCAUUUCCUAUACUCCUGUCUCUGCAGGAGUCGCUCACCUAUUUUAUUUUGCCUUCUCUCUUAUGCUAGCCUUGAGUUGCGUUCUUGUCACGUGCCCUUUCCACUUGUUACCUCAAGCAGCCCAUAUUGCCACCACCACCUCCUACAGCUAUUGUUUGGUUAUCGGGUCUGCCUUGCGAGUCGUAGUGCAUGCUAGUGCUGUUUAUAUCCUGUUACCGUUAUCGUUAUCUUAUCGGGUUAUCUGUUGGGGAAUCAUGACACAUGGGUUAUGAAUAUGUUGCUGGAGAUAAUCACACUUACUUUAUUGUUAACAACUAAAAAUUGUAAGCAGAGGCAUCUGUGAGCCCCUUUGCGAAAGCAUCGGAACUUUGACUCGCUAAUGUCCCCUAGGACCCGAGUUCCUGUUAUCUGUUCCGAGAUUGAGCGCUCUACCCAUGCGUGGGGACGUUUAUUGGGACCCCCCCCUCACCUUUUACCUUUUCUCAAGUCAGUUGAAAAGGGGGCCACAACCUUGGUUUUAUUUGCCUAUGCCAUGUAUGCCAUGCUUUACUUACUGUUGCCUUCGGGUGUUUACUUCCUGUUGCCUUCGGGUGUUUAUAUUCUGUACUGUACCCCGCGGGACGUUUAGCGAAAGCGUGUGGUUCGCACGCCUAGCCGCCAUCGCAAACCCUGAGUCCGCUUCGGAGUACGGCCGGACUUCGUUACGGGUAGCUUAGUCGGGUGGCCCCCCUAGACUUUCUUGUUGAACUGGGAACGGUCUUGUUGUGAGACUCCACACUUGCUACGCGGGUUCGAGCAUGCGUAUGGUUACAUUUGGGCAACCCCUGCAGGGUGUACAUCUUAUCGAUAAGCCGUGUCCGCGGUUAUGGACGACUUGGAAUUGUAUAGCUCGAUCAUAGAACAACUUACACCUUUAUGUUGAUGCUAAUAAUCUGCUAAUAACUUGCAUAGUAACUUAGCAAUACUACAACGGUUACUUAAUAAAACUUGUCAACCGUGUGAGUGCCUUUGUAAGUACUUCCUUGCGAGGGGGGAACACAUCGGUCGGGUUAUGUUUGCAGAGUAUAGAACUGUUAGUUGUGCGCUCUCUCACCUUCUCUGAUAGACGAAUGUUGUAGAGUGUCUCUAUAGGUUUUUAGUGCUGCGCGCUGCCGCUUAACCCCACCAUAAUGCCUAUGACGUUCCUCUUGCAUCCACUAAGUCCCCUGCGUGCCUCAAGUACAAAGGUCGACUGGUUGACGAAUGCUUAUACGUCUUGAAGUCUUGUUAAGUACGAACCCGUACUUAUUGCUGCUUCUUUGGGACAUAACCGGGCAGGUAUGAAGUCAUGUUCGACGAAGACGACGUUAGCAAGGUUACCCUUCCGGCUUGGCCUGGGCAGGGAUAUGGACGCCACUGGUUAACUUCAGGACUCUUAGUCCAAUUUGUAUCUUGUCCGUACUCGGACGCAUUCGAUCUUCUGUAUGAUUUGGAUCUUUGUAUUGUAUAUUUGUAUCUUGACUCGUUGGAGUCGUUGUUGUAAUAUAUGUUUCUUGUGGGCUCUAUUGUAAUCCUGUUGUAAUGUUA